AUUGAACGCUGGCGGCAUGCCUUACACAUGCAAGUCGAACGGCAGCACAGGGGCAACCUUGGUGGCGAGUGGCGAACGGGUGAGUAAAGCAUCGGAACGUACCUGUUAGUGGGGAGUAGCUCGGCGAAAGACCGGAUUAAUACCGCAUACGACCUACGGGUGAAAGACGGGGAGUCGCAAGACCUCGCGCUAUCGGAGCGGCCGAUGUCAGAUUAGGUUGUUGGUGGGGUAAGGCCUACCAAGCCGACGAUCUGUAGCUGGUCUGAGAGGACGACCAGCCACACUGGGACGUGAGACACGGCCCAGACUCCUACGGGAGGCAGCAGGUGGGGUAAUUUUGGACAAUGGGCGAAAGCCUGAUCCAGCAUGCCGCGUGCGGGGA
rnacentral:rRNA from 1 species